rnacentral:rRNA from 1 species
AUUGAACGCUGGCGGCAGGCCUAACACAUGCAAGUCGAACGGAGCAGCGGACGGGGGAGUGAUAGCUAGGAAUCUGCAUGUGAGUGAGGGAGAGGGUCCGGUACCGGACACUGAUGCCACAUACUAUCAGAUUCGCCUAGGUCGGAUUAGCUAGUGGGUGGGGUAACGGCUUACCAAGGCGACGAUCCGUAACUGGUCUGAGAGGAUGACCAGCCACACUGGAACUGAGACACGGUCCAGACUCCUACGGGAGGCAGCAGUGGGGAAUAUUGGACAAUGGGCGAAAGCCUGAUCCAGCCAUGCCGCGUGUGUGAAGAAGGUCUUCGGAUUGUAAAGCACUUUAAGUGGGGAGGCGUUACCAGCAGAAGAAGCACCGGCUAACUUCGUGCCAGCAGCCGCGGUAAUAC